UACAGAGGGUGCGAGCGUUGUUCGGAAUUACUGGGCGUAAAGCGCACGUAGGCGGACAUUUAAGUCAGGGGUGAAAUCCCGGGGCUCAACCCCGGAACUGCCUUUGAUACUGGGUGUCUAGAGUGUGGAAGAGGUGAGUGGAAUUCCGAGUGUAGAGGUGAAAUUCGUAGAUAUUCGGAGGAACACCAGUGGCGAAGGCGGCUCACUGGUCCACUACUGACGCUGAGGUGCGAAAGCGUGGGGAGCAAACAGG
rnacentral:rRNA from 1 species